CGGACGGGUGAGUAACACGUGGGUAACCUGCCCGGAAGUGGGGAAUACCUCGGGGAAACUCGAGCUAAUACCGCAUGACAUCUUCGGGACGAAAGUCCUGACGAUCAAAGCGGGGUCGCAAGAUCUCGCGCUACCGGAUGGGCCCGCGCCCGAUUAGCUAGUUGGUGAGGUAACGGCUCACCAAGGCUUCGAUCGGUAACCGGCCUGAGAGGGCGAUCGGUCACACCGGAACUGAGACACGGUCCGG
rnacentral:rRNA from 1 species